rnacentral:lncRNA from 1 species
UGGCGUUAAGGAUGCAACCCAUCGGUUCUUUGGGUUGCCAGCAGAGGAGAAGAGAAAGUUCUCCAAAGAGCUUUCUUCCACCAACAACAUCAGAUUUGGAACCAGCUUUAGUCCUGAUGCAGAGAAAGCUCUUGAAUGGAAAGAUUACCUUAGCCUCUUCUAUGUCUCAGAGGAGGAGGCUUCUGUAUUGUGGCCUUCUGCUUGCAGAGAUGAAGUCCUUGAAUACAUGAAGAAAUCUCAAGUCCUCUGCACGAAGCUAAUGAGUACACUCAUGGAGAAACUGAACGUAAAAGAAAUAGACGAAUCCAAAGAAUCUCUGCUAAUGGGCUCUAAAAGGAUUAAUCUCAACUAUUAUCCAAGAUGUCCAAACCCUCAGCUCACUGUUGGGGUUGGCCGCCACUCCGAUGUUUCCUCACUCACUUUCCUCCUACAAGACGAAAUCGGCGGGCUUUACGUGCGAAUCAACGAAGGCAAAGGCGACGAAGAUGGCUGGGUUCAUGUUCCUCCUAUUGAAGGAUCUCUUGUGAUCAACGUGGGAGAUGCAUUGCAGAUACUGAGCAAUGGUCGAUACAAGAGCGUAGAACACUGUGUGAUUGCAAGUGGAAGCAAGAACAGAAUUUCAAUCCCCAUUUUCGUAAAUCCAAAGCCAAAUGAUGUGAUCGGUCCUUUGCCUGAGCUGAUCGCUGCCGGAGAGAAGCCUAAAUAUAAGAACAUUCUUUACUCUGAUUAUGUGAAGCAUUUCUUCAGGAAGGCUCAUGAUGGCAAGAAGACUGUGGCUUUUGCUGAGAUUUCAUCGUAAUAGUUUUCUCAUAUAUGUUUUUACUUUAAUGUAUUAAAAUUUAAUUUAGUCUAUUGGUUAUAAUUAAUUUUAAAACUAGUUUUGAUUUUAUUGUCGAAAAAAUAAAAUUUAAGAUAUAAUUAAUUUAAUUUUUCACAAAAUUUUAGAUUAUUUUAUUUAAUAGCUCAUUGUUUUAUUGUCAAACUAUAUAUAUAAACUUUCAUAUAAAUGGCUUUAGAAGUUUCCUAAAUGGAACAUAUUUUUUAUGGAAAAUAUUUUUUAAAAAUAAAUAAUUUUUUGCAUUUUUAAUGUUUUAGUAUACUAAAAAAAUUUAUUAUUGAAAAAUAUUUUUUAUACAUCAAGAGAAAAAAUUAACCAAUCUUUAAGAAAAAAUAACUUUGAGAACUUUAUUAAUUCUAUUAGAUAUUCUAUUAUACAUGAAUGUUAUUAAUAACUUGUAUUUGUUAAUAUUAUUGAUAUAGCUCAAGCUUCAUCUAUCAAGAAAAAAUAACUUUGAAAACUUUGAAAAUGUUAAUAAAAGUCAAUUUUUUAUUAAAAAAUAAUAAUUGAUUAAAUCCGUAAUAAUAUAUUACUUUCCGUUAUUAAAUCCGUUACUAUUUUAUUUAUUUAGUUUAUUUAUUUAGUAAUUAAUUUAAUAAUAAAUUUAUUAAUGGAUUAAAAUAUAUUACUAAUUUUUAAUUAAUUUAUUAACAGAUUUAUAAUAGAUUUUAAAAUUAGUUAUUAAAUUUGUAUAUAAUUUUAUUAAGUAACGAAUUUGUUAAUCCGUUAUUAAAUAAUAAAAAUUAAUAAUUAAAUAUAAAAAAUUUAUUAUUAAUUUAUUAUAAAUUUAUAAUGAAUUUAAAUUCACUAUUAAUAUUUAUUAUUAUUUCGAUAAAUUUUGAUAGUGAUAGAUGAUUCUAUUAAAAAGUAAAGUGUUUCGCCCUAAAUUAAAAAACGUUCUAUACCAAAAUUUAAAUUCGAAAUAUUUAGGUACAAGAGAAACACCAGCAGACUUUAAGCCCAUCCAGUUAGUCCACUAAAGUGGACCCAGUGAAAGACCGAAACACUGGUUAAGUGGGUUGGAGGUAAGAUCCAAAGGUUCCACACGUGUCACCAUCCAAUUGGAUACCAACUGCUCACAUUUCCCUUCUCGGUUGCAUGAUUUAUUAAUCUCAAGGGAUGAGAUGGAUGAUGCGUGUACUUUCACCCUUAAUAAGAUAUCUGAAUUUUGAAUCCGAAUAAUUUAUAAUAAAAAAUAUUAAUUGAUUUAUUAUAGGUAUAUUGUAGUUGAAUUAAUUAUUUUUUAAAAGAAUAUUAAAUAAAAAAAUUUAAAUAUUUAUGAUAAUUUAAAAUUUAAAAUUUUAGAUAAUAAAAUCAAAUAUUUUUAAUUUGUUAUAUUAUAAUUAAAGAAUUAAAUUAAAUUUAUAUAAAUUAAUAGUAAAUUAUAAUAUAAUCUCUAAAAUUCUGUUUAAAUAAUAAAAUAGUGUUUAAAUACAUAUUUUUAUUAUAAAAGUAUUAUUUUUUUAUUAAUCUCAUUAUUCACUCUCUAUUUCUAUUUUUAUAUAAUAUUAUUAAUAAAAAAUAAGAUUUUUCAAAUAUAAAAAUAUACACAUAAUUUAUAAUAUUAAAUAUAAACAUAAAUAUAUAUAUGUGAUGUUUUGUAUAAUAGAAAUUUAUUUGUAAUAAAAAUUUAUUCAAUACAACAUAUUUGAUAUUAUAUAUAAUAAAUAUAAAAUAUAUUCAAUUUCAAUAUAAUAUUUAAAUUAAAAAAUUAUAUAUUUUAUUAAUAAUAUAGAAAUUUAGAAACUGUAUUAUAAUUUCUAUUAAUUUAUAUAAAUUUAAUUUAGUUUCUUUAAUUUAUAAUAAAUUAAAAAUAUUUGAUUUUAUUAUUUAAAAUUUAAAAUAUUAAAUAUAAAUGUGAAUUAUUUUAAAUUUUUUUAUCUAAUAUUUUUAUUUUAAAUUGUUAAAUAUCACAAUUACAUUGAAAAGUUGUCUUUAUGUGUUAGUGUUAGUGAUCUCAAGGAUGCACGAAUUACAAUGUAGAGGGUUGGUUUUUGUUCGUGAAAAAUAACUUAUAUUUAUAAAAUAUUUUUUGAGUAAAAUAUUUUUUUAUAAAAAAUAAAUAUUUUUUAAUAAAAUAAUUUAUUUUUUAUUAUUUAAUUUUAAUUUAAAAAAUAAAUUUUAUUAAAAAAAAUUAUAUAUACAGAUUUUAAUAAGAAUGUAAGGCCUAAAAAAAUUUUUUUUUUCUUAUAUAAAAAAAGUCAUUCUUUUAAAAUGGUUUAUUUUUUUCAACUAUAAAAAUAUUUUUUACUCUAAAUAUCAAAAAUUACGAAAAAUAUUUUCUUUAAAAUAAUUUAAGUUUUUAAUUAAAAAAAUAUUUUUUAUUAACUUUUUUUCUUGAGCGCUCAAACAAAAAAAAUGUAAAAAAAAUUUAAAAUAUUUUUUAUAAAAAAAUUUAAAAUAUUUUUUAUAAAAAAAUUCUGUUUAUUUUAAAAAAUAAUUCAUAUUUAAAAAAUAUUUUUGUAGAAAAUUCAUUAAAAAUAUUUUUUAAAAAAAUAUUUUUAUCAUUUAAUUUUAAUUUAAAAAAUAAAAUAUAUUAAUAAAUUUAUAUAAAUAUAUUUGUAAAAUUCUAAAAAUAAUUUUUUUUUAAAAAAAAGCUGAUUUAUUUUUUCUUUGUAUUUUAAAUAUAAAAAAAAUACUUUUUAAACAAACAGAAUUUUAAUAAAAAUUUAAAUUAUAUAUAAAAAUAUUUAUUUUUUAAUCUCUAAAUAAUAUUAUUAUUCAUAAAUUAAUCCUUACAGUUUUAAAAAUUUAUAAAAAUAUUUUUUAAUUUUUAUUUUCAUCAAAAAAAUAAUUCUUCCAUCUAAUUUCACUUACUUUUUCUGUUAAAAUUGUGUUAAAUAGAGAAUGAACCUUUUUAAAAUUCUAAACUACCCAUACAAUCAAACAUUCUCUCUCCAUUGACCCCACUGCACUAAAUCAAAAUUACCAUAUUCUCAACAUUCUUCUUUGCAUAUUAAAUGGGUAGGAGAUUAGGAGAAUUUUUAUUUUAAUAAUUUUUUUUUAUCUUCCAUAGUCAUUGAAUUUUUCUUUUAAAAAAAAUUAACACAAAAUUAUAUUUAGCCAAUGAGAUUUCAAAAUUGAAUAUUAAUAAUAGUUUUAUUAAUUAAAAAUAAAAUACUUAUUAUUAAUUUAGAAUUAGAUAAUUGUAUAAUAUAUGCAUAUAUUUCAUAAAUUUAUAAGAUAAAAUUUUCUUGAAAAGACUACCAAACACAUAAUUAAAGAAAUAAAAGGACAAUAAAUUAUUGGGACUUCAAUUGGCAAAUCCAUAUAAAAUAAUGCCAUUAUUUUCUUUCUUAAUUGACCCACAAAAAAUUAAUACUAUAUGUAAUUGAGAUCUUAAUUUAAAUUAAAAAUAUUUUCUUGGUCUCCUUGAAAAAUAUAUUUUGACUCCUUAAUUAUUUCAUCAAUGGAUUUGGGUGUUGAUGAGCCUUUCAUCAAUUAAUUAAUAAGAUUAUGAAAUGGCAUGAGUCUUCUCUCCGAUUUUAAAUUUGAAUUUUACGCAUAAAAUAUUUUUAAAUUUUAAAUGAUAAUAUUUAUUUUUAUAUAAAUUAUCAUAAAUUAAAAUUUAUCUAGACAAUGAACUUUUGAAUGAUAUAUGAUAUUAUGAGAUUCUAAAUAUAGAAUUUAUUGUGGGUAUAUAAGUUUAGGUAGGAAAUGAGACUUUUCUUUCAUUUUAUCCAUUUUCCUUUUAAAACUUGCACCUUAGAUCAAUCUGCUUAAAGAUAGCCCGAUGGAUUUUAGACCUAUAUUAUUUUUAUGAUUCAAUCUUAUUUCAAGUAUAAGAAGAUCCGCGAUCAUCGACAUAUAUUAUAACUUAAAAUUUUUUUUUUAAUAGUAAAAGAUGGAAUAAAUUAUCUAAAAUAUUUUAAGUAAAAUUAUUUGGAAAAUUAUUUAUAAUAAAAUGUAAAAUUUUGAUCUCAUUGCAUAAUCUUACAAGUGUAUAUAUAUAUACAUAUAUAUAAGUCAACUAUGAAAAUAUCAUUAUCAAAAGUGGUGGCAGAGAUCAGGGUUAGAUCAAGAUAAUGAUUCUCUUAAUUAAAAAAUAAUAUUAAUUUUCUUACUCUAGGGGCUACUAGGAGAGUGAGUGAGGAGGAAAUCAGAGAAAUUACUUAAUUAUAAAAUCAGUUUUGCUUUUCCCAUAAAGUCUUACUUCAAAUUUCCAGAUAAGCUGAUAGCUAAUUCCUUCUUCGAGUCUAAAUUAAAUCUUGAAAAAUGUUGCUGCUUCUAGUCAAUUAUGUCUGCUUGACAACUUGUCUUAAUUCUUUUUUUUUUUCAAUAUAUAUAUAUAUAAAUAAUUAAAAAUAAUUAUCUAUUCCAUUAUUAUUUUGCUGAUUGAAUUUCUCAGUAAGUGUUUGGAUUAAUAGUUUGUGAGUUUAACCAUUAAUUUAGAGUGUUUUGAAUUUUAUUAAUAUAAUUAAAUAUAAAAUUAUCAUUAUUAAUAAUUAUAUAAAUUAAAAAAAUUAUUAUAUAUUCUUUAUAAUAUGAAAAAUUUAUUAAUCAAUUAUUUUAUUUUAAAAAAUAUAUUAAAAUAUUUAUGAUAUUAGAAAAAAUUUAUUAGCCUAUCAUUCCGUUAAAUUUACUAUUAUGUAUUGUAAAUAAAAUUUAAAAUAAAAAUGAAUAUUCGAUCAGUUCGAUUCAAAUUGAAUCGAAUCGAAUGAACUGAAAAUUAAAAUUUUAGUAUUUAUAAAAACUGAAACGAAUUGAUUUUGAUCAGAAACCAAACCGAACCGAACCGGUUUGAUUCUAUUCGGUUUAAUUGAUUUUGAUUUUUAAUAAUUUUUUUAUUUUUUACACUUUAUUUUUAAUAUUUUAAAAUUUAAUUAAAAUAUUUUAAUUUUAAUAUAAUUUUUAAUGAAAUUUUAAUAUAAUUUAAUUUUUCUAUAUUAUUGAAAAUAACAUAUUAUUAUCACUAAUUGAUUCGGUUUGAUUUUUUUGAUUUUUUUGAUCAAAACCAAACCGAACCGAAAUAAUUAAAAUUUCUGAAAUUAAAAACCAAACCCAACUGAAUUGAAUAAAAAACUGAACUAAAUUUUAAAAUUAAUUCAAUUCGGUCGAUUUUUUCAGUUUGAACCGAAUACUACUCACUCUUAAUUUAAAAUACUCUCGAUACGGAAAGAUUAAUUAGUAAAUUUUUUAAAAAUUUAAAUUAUUAAUUAAUAAAUUUUUUAAAAUUAUAAAAAUUAAAUCAUAAAAUAUUUAAGGGCGAAAUUAAUAAAUAAAUUUUUAAAAUAUUAAAGAUAUUUUAAUUUAUUUUUUAAAAUUAAUAGAUCAAUUAUUUAAGUUUUAUCUCCAUUAAAGAAUUUAGUAUAAUUAUCAAUUUUUUUAUUGUUUUUUACAAAGAUAUUCCAAAUCUUAGCUACAAGAAAAAAAUCCUCCAAAAUACCUAACCCCAUUUUACUAGCUUUAACAAAUGUAUCAAAAGCUAGGCAGAUGGGCACAUGUUUAGUCGUUGAGGUGGGCGGUUUAGAACUUGAAAUAACCCUGACCCUACCAACAACCGGUAGAGAUGGAAAAAAAUAUAUAUAUAAUAAAGCAGUAACAAACCAAUUAUAUAAAAAUAAUUGUUUUUUUUUUAUAAAAAAACCGUUAAUUAGUUCAUUAUUUUAGGGUUUCAUCAUUUACCUGCGGGGUGUGUAUUUUUAUAUUCAUUUUUAUUAUUUAUCAAAUCAUAUAAUAUAAAAAAUAGAGAUUAAAAAUUGGAAAAAUAAAACUUAAAAUUUCUUAAAUUUAUUUAAAUGCGCUUACCAUCAAACUGAAAUCUCUCAAAUUUACUUAAAUACACUUAUUAUCAAAUUAAGUUUAUAAAUAUUUGAAUUUAAUUUAUUAUUAAUCUAAAAAUAAAUGUACUCUAGACUUAAUCUAUCAUAAAUCUAAAUAUAAAUGAGCAGGUUUGUUAUUAAAGUUUAUCAAAUUAAAAAUAAAUAAAUAAUAUAAGAGUUAUUUUGAUAGCAUGAUGGACAUAAUCUGAUAAUUUUCCAUACGGUAUAGUUUCUAGUAGAGGUGGGUCCCGAAUUUACAGACUCAAGACCAUGAUUUGGGGCAAAUUGCUUGGCAUCAAUCAAUUAAAAUUUGGAAAGUGAAGACGAGAGAGAAAAGGCAAAGAAUCUAGAAAAGAGAAGGAGAAAAUGGAAAGUAAUUGUUUUUCUUUUGAAAUUUUAGUGCAGCUUUUUUAAUUUUUUUUGUGUUUUUUAAUUUUAAUUUUUAUUUGUUGAUUUUUUUUUUCUUCGAAAAGGGAAUGAUUUCCGUUUGUUAUAGUCAUUUUUCGCUGUAGUCGGACGACAAUUAAGUCUUUUAUUUAUUUUUCUAUUUUUUUAUUUUGUAAGUCUUUAUUAUUUUUCAUAUCAGGGAUGGAUGUAUUUGAAUUUCGUAAGACCUACAACUUCACUUUUGCCAACAGAGAAGACUUUUAGGUUAUUGAUGUUGUAUUUUUGGAUUGCACUGCUGCUUUUGGUGACUUGCAUUCCCUUUGAUUGAUAAUCGACUGAGUUCUGCAGCGUCUUCUUUCUAUGGUGCUCUGUUCUGUGCUUGAAUUAUCGAAUUAACGUUUUUGAUAAAUUUUAUAUAUAUUUUUAUUGCAUGAUGGUCUAUUAUUGCGAGUUUUGCUGUUUCUGGUAGUUAUCAUUAUCUCACUUGCUUGUACUAUGUUACUCGAUGUCAAUGAUGGUAGUGGUAUCGUGAUUGUGCGAUGGUUAUUAUUAUCUUACUUAUUUGUGCUAUGUUACUCAAUGUCAAUGAUAAUAGUGGCAUUGUGAUUGUGCGAUAGUAAGACGGUGACAAAUAAAUUUUAAGAUGUAAUGAGUAAGAUUUCUGUGAAUUGAUUGGUCUGAAUUCACUAAUAGAUUUGAGUUGAACCGUUAAUGAUUGUAGAUUGAAUUUAAAUUUAUCAUAGACUGAAUUUUUUUAUUGAUUUUCUUAAAUUUCAUUUUUGAACCCUCUUAUAUUUUACCUUCUUGACUUCUAAAUGCAAUAUAAUCUGCAUUAUUUAAAAAAAAUUAAUUAAAAUUAAUUAAAUUUAGUCUUAAAAGAAAUUAAAUUUAGACCUUACAAUUUAAAAUGGCUUAUGAAAUAAGAAGUUUACUUUUCGAAAAUUAAUUUAACUAAAAUAAGAGAAACAACUUACUUAUUUUGUAUAAAAAAAUAAGUUUUAAUUCCUUAAUUAGAAAAUAAAAAAAAUUAAUUAAAAAAAAUUUAAUAAUUUUUAAAAAUUUAAAUUUUAUUUUUUUAAACGGAAAUCGAGAAAAUAAAAUCUAAAACCUGUCAAAUGUAGCACUUACCAUUAAGUUAAAGCUAUGAGUGCUUUAUUUUAAUUUAAUUUAAUUUUUUUAAAUAUAUUUUAAUUAAUUAGAAUGAAAGAAUUUAAUUUUUUUAUUUAAAAUAUUUUAAUUUAAAAAAAAUAUAAUUUUAUAUAAUUUUAUAAAAAUUUAUUUAAAUUUUGGAGCCCUACAUUUAUAAGUUUUGUACCUUAAUUAAUUAAUUAAUUUAUUUUAUUUCGAAUUAAAUUAACCCUUUUUUAAAAAUUAAAAUAAUAAUUUUUAAUUUUUAUAAUAAAAUAUUAAUACCAUGUUUUAAUAUUAAAAACUAUUCAUUCUUAUGAUUAAAGAAAAUAAAAAUAAAAAAUCAUUUAAAAUAAUUUUAUAAUAUUAAAGAUAUAAAUUAAGACUAAAAUUGCCUUUCAUAUCUUCUAAUUUAUUUACAAUAUUAUCUAAUUGUCUAUCUUUCAUAAUAUUAUAUGAAAAAAUAAAUGUUUUUAUUGAGUUAUAUAUGCUAAGUAGUAACGAUUUUAGAAACGGAUCAUAAUAUAGCAAAAGAAAUAGGAAAUUAACACCGUAAGAUGGACACUUUUAUGCACAUUGGGCAUAUAUACACAGGAUUAAUAAAAAAUAUAUAUAUAUAUAUAUAAUUUUAAAUAAAUCUUAUCUUAAUUUCAUAUCAUAUAGAAAUUUUUAAUAAUGUGUAUAUAAUCGUAAUAAUAUAUAAAUAUAAUAUUUCGUAUUCACAAUCCGAAUAAUUUAAUAAUCAAAUAAAAUUCAUUUCGAUAUAAGCUGACAAAACUAAAAUUGAGUGCCGAUACGAAUGAGAUAGAUCGUAAUAUUUAAAACGAAUGAAUUGACUCAAAUAAUUAUUGAGCAACAAAAAGCGUUUUGCUCAUAAAUUUUGCUAUGCGUAUUAGAAUCACUGAUAAAAUUUCAAUUCAAAAAACUCAUUCAAAAAUCUACAUUUUUUACUUGCCUUCGGCUAAGUAGUAAUCCAUCAAAAAUAUUGUUUAGGGUCUCAAAUUAGCUUUUAAAGUUUUUUUUAACAGUAUUUUUUGAAUUUUUAUAUAUACCUAUUUAACAUGUCUAAACUAACUUAUUUUCUAUUCAUAAUUACAUUUUUUUUUUAAAAUCUAUCAAAUCAAUAUUCGGAUGUACUAAUCCUAGAACUCUCUUGAAUCACACUUUAUCAAAUCAUCGCAAAUAAAAUUUUGUAUUGAUAAUCCAAUAAAAAUCUAUUGGUAGACGAAUUAUUAAAAGAUCACUAAUGGAUUAAGAUUCACUGUUAAAAAAGCUCGGAUCACACUUUUAUUACUCUUAUUAAUGGAUUUUAAUUUCAUUAGUAAAUUAAAAAAAAAUAAUUUAUUAAUAGAUGUGAAAUCCGUUAUUAAAUUUAUUAGUAAAUUACUGACGGAUUGCAAUAUGUUAGUAACUUCAUUAGAAAUUUAAAUAAUUUUAAAAUAAUUAUUAUUUUAAUUAAAUAAUAAAUUUUAUUAUUAAUUUAAUCAGAUUUAAAAUUAUAUUAUUAGUGUUAUUAAAUUUUUAAUUUAUAUUCAAUAUUUAUUAGAAAUAUAUAGAAAGUGGAAAUAAGAUAUAAAAUGAGAGAAAAUGAUGAAAAAAAAAAAGAAAGAAAACAGAGAAAAAAAAAUGAUAGAAAAAUAAAAAUUAUAAAAAAGAAAAAAGAAUAAAAGUAGAGUAAAAAAUUGAUUAGAGAAAUGAAAAAAAAGGAAUAAAUGAUUAUAGAAAAAAUAAAUAUAGAGAAAAUAAUAAAAAAUAUAUAAAUAAAUAAAGAGAAAAUAAUAGAAAAAUAUAGAUAGAAAGAAAAUGAUGAAAAAAAAUAAUAUAAGAGAAAUUAAUAUGAAUGAAAUACGGCAAACAUUAAGAAAAUAAGAGGAGAGUGAAGAAAAUAAUGAAAAGAAAUAGAGAAAGCGAAAGAAAAAUUAUAAGAAAAAGUGAAAAAAAUAAUACAAGAGAGAAUAAAAUGAGAGAAAAAAAAGGAUAAAAGGCGGAAAAAAAAUAAUAAAAAUUGAAAGAAAAAAAUUAUGAGAUAAAAAAAGUGAAAUGAAAGAAAGUAAUAGAAAAAAAAAAAGAAAAUGAGUGAAAGGAGAAGAAAAAAAAAAUGGAAGGAAGAAAAAUGAUAAAUGAAUGAAUAAUAAAAGAAGAGGAAAAAUAUUAUGAGAUAAGAAAGCGAAAUGAAUGAAAUGAAUGAAAGUAAUAGAAAAGGAAGAAAAAAAACGAGCGAAAGAAAAAGAAAAUAGAAAAAUAAAAAAUAAAAGAAAUGAAAAGAAGAAAAAUGAUAAAUAAUUGAAUAAUAAAAAAAAGGAAAUUAUGUUGUAUUUAUAAACGCAAAUUAUUUACUUACAUUUUGAAAAAAAAUCAACUCUUUUCUUUUAACAAUUAUUAAUAAAUUUAAAAUUCGUUAAUAAAUUCAUUUGUAACUUAAAAAUAUAAAUUUAAAAAAAAAGUAAAAAUUUUAUGUGAGCAUUCAUUUUAAAUUUACUAAUAAAUAUCAUUCGUUUUAAUAUUUUUAAUUUAUUAAUUUAAUGAUAUUUCAGAUUUCUAAAGUUAUUAAUAAUUUUUUAACAAAUUAAUAAUAGAUUUAGAGUCCACUAAUAAUUUAAAUAUUUUUUAAAAUCUAUUAAUAUAUUUUAAUCGGUUAAUAAUAAAUUAUGAACAAAUUUUAAAAAAUCUAUUAAUAUAUUUUAAUUGGUUGAAUUUUAUAUUUUAAUCGGUUAAUAAUAAAUUAUGAACGAAUUUUAAAAAAUUUAUUAAUAUAUUUUAAUUGGUUGAAUUUUAAUUUUGUUAGUAAAUUUCAACGCUUAUUAUUUUAUAAAUUUAUAAAUUCACAAUGAAUUCUAAAAUUAAUUAAUAAUACAAUGGAUUUUUAAGGAAAAAUUUUUUAUGUUAAGAGUUAUUAACAGAUUUUUAAAUUUAUUAAAAUUAUUAAUAAAUUAAAAUAUAUUUGAUAAAAUUUAUUAAUAAUGUGGAGAUUUCUUGUAGUAAUUAAUUGGGUAUAAAUAAUUUUUUUUUUAUUUAACGCAACAUCCCUUUAAUUAUAUCCAUUUUAAGGUCCAGAUAAAAAUAAUCUUUUUAAAUUUGAUGACUGUCCAAAUCACUCAGUUUGUUUGAUUUAAAAUAAAAUCGAACUGAAUAAAUCAAAAAUUAAAAUUUAAGUAUUUUUAAAAAUCAAACCGAAUUGAUUUUAAUUAGAAACUGAAUCAAAUCAAAUUGAUCUAAUUUAGUUCGAUUCGAUUCGGUUUAAUUAGUUUCAAUUUUUAAUAAUUUUUUAUUUUUUACAUUUUAUUUUUAAUAUUUUAAAAUUUAAUUUUAAUAUGAUCUAAUCUCUCUAAAAAUAAUAUAUUAUUAUCACUAAUCAAUUCAGUUCGAUUUUUUUGAUUUUUUCUAAUCAAAAUCGAGUCGAGUUGAAAUAAUCGAAAGUUUUAAAAUUAAAAAUUGAAUCGAAUUGAAAUAAAUAAAAAAUCAAAUCAAAAUUUUAAAUUAAUUCAGUUCAAUCGAUUUUUUCAAUUUAAACCAACUAUUGCUAAAUUAACUGAAAUUUUUUCGAUUUUUUUGAUUUGAACCGAUUUUUUUAAUUUCAAAUUAAUUAUUUAUAAAUCUGCUCACCCCUCACUGCACUCUACUAUGAUGCAGGUAAAUCUUUGAUAAGCAACAGUAAUUUUUUUUUUUCCUGAGGUAAAUCCUUCGAAAUUAAGUACAUAAUAAAAAACUUAACUAAAUUAAUAGCUUUGUUUCUAAUUGUGAAAUAUUGUGAUUAAAGCUCACACUGCACGCGGAUGAGCAGUAUUCGGUUCAAACUGAAAAAAUUGAUCGAAUUGAAUCGAUUUAAAAUUUUGAUUCGGUACGGUUUUUAAUUUCAAAAAUUUCGAUUAUUUCGGUUCGAUUCGGUUUUGAUCAGAAAAAAAUAAAAAAUACCGAACCGAACCAAUUAGUGAUAAUAAUAUGUUUUUUUAAUCAUAUAGAGAAAUUAAAUCAUAUUAAGAUUAAAAUAUUUUAAUUAAAUUUUAAAAUAUUAAAAAUAAAGUGUAAAAAAUAAAAAAAAUUAUUAAAAAUCAAAACCGAUUAAACCGAACCGAAUAGAACCGAAUCAGACCGGUUCGGUUUGAUUCAGUUCUGACCAAAAUCGAUUCGGCUCGAUUUUCAUAAACACUAAAAUUUCAGUUUUUGGUUUAUUCGGUUCGGUUCGGUUUUGAACCGAACCGACCGAAUGCUCACCCCUACGCAUGCGCGUCUACACAUACUAUAUCUAGAAAAAUUAGAAAUUAAAAAUGUAUUUGUCUAAUUAUUUCAAUCGUAAUUAGAAAUUACUUGCGAUUCAAUUUGAGUAUGUCUUAAUUUUAAAUAUAAAUGGAGUUGAUUUGUAUUUCAAAAAAAAGAAAAUAUGACCAUAUAUAAUAAAAUGUCAAAUUCAAUAAUUUUUAUUUUAAAUUGUCAUUUAUUUAAAUAGACUUCAUUGCUAAAUGAGUUGAGGAUUAAGAGUUCCUUUUGUAAUAUCUAAUAUCUUAUAAUAGCUUAAGAAGUUGAAAAUGUCAAAUAUGAUUUCAUAAGGUUUAUUAUUGCGUGAACUCAAAUAAUAAAGAGAUUCUUAAUAUUCCAUUCGUUUUAUAAUUUUUAUUUUUUUAUUUUAAAAUUAUUAUCCAUUAUUUUUUUUUAUUCUUGGAUAAUAUAUAAAUGAUUUUAUUUAUAAAAUAUAUCUCAAAAUGUUUCGUAAUAUUUAAUAAAAUUUAAUAUUUUUAAAAUAAAUAUAAUAAAAAAAUAUUAUUUUUCUUAAAAUAUGUUAAAAAAUAAAAGUUGACGUAUUAAACUGAUAAAAAGUAGAGGCGAGCAAUAUUCAGUUCAAACUGAAAAAAUUGAUUGAAUUGAAUUAAUUUAGAAUUCAAUUCGAUUUUUUAUUCAUUUCGGUUCAAUUUAAUUUUUAAUUUAAAAAUUAUGGUUAUUUUAGUUCGGUUCGAUUUUGAUAAGAAAAAAUAAAAAAAAUCGAACCGAACCAAUUAGUGAUAAUAAUAUAUUAUUUUCAAUAAAACAGAGAGAUUAGAUCAUAUUAAAAUUAAAAUAUUUUAAUUAAAUUUUAGAAUAUUAAAAAUAAAGUGUAAAAAAUAAAAAUUUAUUAAAAUUUCAAAUCGAUCAAAUCAAAUGGAAUUAAAUUGAAUCAGAUCGAUUCCAUUCGAUUCGAUUUUUGAUUAAAAUCGAUUUGAUUUAAUUUUUAUAAAUAUUAAAAUUUUAAUUUUUGAUUUAUUCAAUUCGAUUUAAUUUUGAAUAGUAUCCAUGAAAUACUUAGUCUAAUGAAAAGUCCUCCUUAUAUGCUUAUUAGUGAAAUUUAUCAUUAUUUUGACGAUGCUGAUUAAUUGGGUAUAUACAUUUGAAUGUUAAAAAAAAAAUAUUUUCGAUAAUAGGUGUAAUUCAAAGUAUUGAGUAAGAAAAAAUUUAUAAUAAUUAAAAAUGUGAUUUUUUCAAGAGGAAGAAAGAUUCUUUCGUAGAUGUAAGCACAUGGAGAAGUUAUAGAAUAUAGAUUUAAAGAGGCAUGAAAUUGGAAUAUUAGAUGGUGAAUGAAUUAUAUACUCUAUGAAAUUAAUAAAUAACAAAUCUGUGGUUGGUGAAGCAAUUAACAAAUUAGAUCAAGACAAGCACUCACAUGCCAUAUUCUCCUAUAAAUAACACCAGACUCCUCCCCAUUUUCUAUUCAACCAAACAAAACCCAAGACAAAUAUUUUCCUUCUCUCAUAAGAAGCUCAAGAAAUGGCUCCAACACUUGCAGAAUCAACCACUGACGCCUCCGCCUUUGAUAUCGCCGAUUUUGUGAUCAACCAAGGGAAUGGCGUAAAGGGUCUCUCUGAGUUGGGCAUCAAAAGCCUUCCUCGCCAAUAUAUUCAACCAAAAGAAGCAUUGAUCAACAUCAUCCCAAACAAAUCCAUCCCUGUCAUUGACAUGGCCAACUGGGAAAAUGAUCCCAACAUCGCUGAAUCUGUCUGUGAAGCUGCUGAGACAUUUGGAUUCUUUCAGCUUGUUAACCAUGGCGUUCCUCUUGAGGUCCUUGACGGUGUUAAAGAUGCAACGCAUCGUUUCUUUGGGGUUCCAGCUGCUGUGAAGAGGAAGUAUUCUAAGGAGCUUUCGCCUUCUAACAGUGUUAGAUUUGGCACCAGCUUUAGCCCUGAUUCUGAGAAAGCUCUUGAAUGGAAAGAUUAUCUCAGCCUUUUCUAUGUCUCUGAGGAAGAAGCUUCUGCAUUGUGGCCUCCUGAGUGCAAGUAAGAAAAUUAUUUUAAUAUUGUGAAGUUUUCUUGGAAAUUAUUAAACUGAUCGUUUCUUUGUUUACAGGGAUGAAUGCUUGGAGUACAUGAAGAAAUCUGAAAUCUUAUGCAGAAAGCUUUUGACUGCAUUAAUGGAGAGACUCAAUGUAAAAGAAAUAGACGAGAAGAAAGAGUCUCUUUUAAUGGGAUCUCGAAGAAUCAACCUCAACUACUAUCCAAGAUGUCCAAACCCUCAGCUCACUAUCGGUGUCGGCCGCCACUCCGACGUCUCCACCCUCACGUUCCUCCUCCAAGACGAAAUCGGUGGACUUUACGUGCGAGUCAACGAAGGAAAAGGAGAAGAAGAUGGGUGGGUUCAUGUUCCUCCGAUUGAAGGAUCUCUUGUGAUAAACGUCGGAGAUGCAUUACAAAUUCUGAGUAAUGGUCGAUAUAAAAGUAUCGAGCAUUGUGUGAUUGCGAGCGGAAGUAAGAACAGAAUUUCUAUUCCUGUUUUUGUCAACCCAAAGCCAAGUGAUGUGAUCGGACCGUUGCCUGAAUUGCUUGCUGCCGGAGAAAAGCCAAAAUAUAAGAAUAUUUUAUACUCCGAUUAUGUGAAGCAUUUCUUCAGGAAGGCUCAUGAUGGGAAGAAGACUGUGGAAUUUGCUGAAGUGUAAUAAUUUUUAGUUACUCUAUCAGUUUAUGUCAUUAUUGUUAAUGUUGUAAUCACUAAGUAUUUAAAAUAAACUCUAAGAUUAAUUUUAUUAAAGUUUAUAUAUAUAUAUAUAUAUACAUAUGUGAAAAUGAACCAUGAGAUUUUUGAGAUAUAAACAAGUGAGUUCCAUUUUAGACGAUUUUUAUUUUUUUGGAUUCAUAGUCUAUGGAAUUGACCUAAAAAUUUAUUAAAAAAAAAUUAAAGAGAUUUAAUUUUAUUUUAAUUUUAAUUAAUUAGCCGUCAUGCACUAUUAAAAUAAUAGGUAAACUGUAAUUUAGUCUCUUUAAUUUAGUGAAAUGCAACCUUUUAUCCCUCUAUUUUAAAAAAUCUUUAAUUUAGUCACUAUAAUUUUUAAAAACUAUGACAUUAGUUUCUCCCGUUAGAUUUUCAGUUAAAUCACCGUUAAUUUUAGUUAAAAAGACUAAAAUACCCAUUCUCUCUCCUUCUUCGAUCUUCCUCUUCUUCUCUUUCUUCUCUUUUCCGAUCUUCUUCUUCUUCUUCUUCUUCUUCUUCUUCUUCUUCUUCUUCUUCUUCUUCUUCUUCUUCUUCUUCUUCUUCUUCUUCUUCUUCUUCUUCUUCUUCUUCUUCUUCUUCUUCUCUUUUCCGAUCUCCUUUCUUCUUAUGUUCCUUUGUGAUGAAUUACUCAACUCUACUCUUGUUCGUCAGCACCUUGAGCAGUGUGUGGAAACUACAACUGAAUUGCAGCAGAAAUUGCGGUCAUUAUCAGUGGAAUUGAAAAAUCUUAAGUCCAGGAAAGAAUUUCUGGCUGUGAGAACUUCAAAUUGGAUACUAGUGCAUCUGGAGAAGGAGGGGAAGGACUUGGUUCCGCAUCUACAAAUCAGAGUAAUUGUAUGGGAAAGCUACCUAAUUUGAGCGAGAGACCUAAUCACUUCUGUGCCUGCUCUGAUGAUGUACCUGCAAUAGAUGAUAGUCAAGAGGGGACUAGGAUUAGUGGCUUUGACAAACAUCAUUUUGUAAUGAAUUAUGGAAAAAAGCAUAAUUGUGACAGUCAAAAUGUUAAGCCAGUGGAUGCUAAACGUCGAGUGAAAGAUCGGGAAGAAGAAGAUCGGAAAGAAGAAGAAGAAGAAGGAGAUCAGAAAAGAGAAGAAGAAGAAGAAGAAGAAGGAGAAGAAGAAGAAGAAGGAGGAGGAGGAGAUCGGAAAAGAGAAGAAGAAGAAGAAGGAGAUCGGGAAGGAGAAGAAGAAGAAGAAGAAGAGAAGGAGGAAGAGGAAGGAGAGAGAAUGGGUAUUUUAGUCUUUUUAACUAAAAUUAACGGUGAUUUAACUGAAAAUCAGGGAGGAUCUAAUGUCAUAGUUUUUAAAAAUCACAAUGACUAAAUUGAAGAUUUUUUAAAAUAGAGGAACAAAAUGUUGCAUUUCACUAAAUCAGAAGGACUAAAUCACCGUUUACCUUAAAAUAAUUAAUAGCUAUUAAAAUAAAGUGCACCUAGGUAGGAAUACAGUUGGUAAGCAGAAAAAAAAAAAGUUGGAUCAAUUAGGGUUAAUUAAGAAAAUUUUAUUUAGUGAGAAAACUGAACUAGAAUAAAUCAUAAUAAAAUUAAAAAACCAAAAAAGAAAAAGAAAAUAGAUGGUCAAAUCCAGCAACCGCCAAGGUGAGAAGUUGAUAAAAAGGAAGCUUACAAGAAAGAGAAAAAAAGUUGAGUUUAUGACUGAAAAUAGGAUCUUUCAGGAAAAAAAAAAGGAAAAAGUAAUAUUUGGUGGGUAGAUUUAACCAAUGUUGGGUAAUUCUUAGCGAUUAUGAUAAAUUAUUAUAAAAAAAAUUGAAUGAGUAAUAUAAAAUAAAAAUAGUUUAAACAAGUUUGAGUGCAAGUAUUUAAUAUAGAACCAUUCCUCUAAAUUGGAUUAAUUAACUUUAAUUUAAUGAUGAAAAGCUGUCAAAGUUUUAAACUAAAUGAUUUAAACACUAAUUUAUACAAUAGUAACAAUAAAUUACUCACAAAGUAAUUAAAAAAAUACAUUGAAACAUUUCAACAAACACCUAGUAUGCACAAUGUAUAUAAGGCAAAAUUAAAAGAUAAAUAUACAAAUUCUAACUCAAAUUCAUUCAAAUAGUUUGUGCUGAUAAAAAAUACAGGGAAAGCAGCUCUUUCUCCAGGCUCACUGGUUUGGGUGGGUACUGGUUGGAAGACGUUUUCUUGUUGGGUCAUUGGAUGGAUUAGUUGAUUGUGAUUUUAUGAAUUCUUGUUUGUUUUUAUAUAUCCAUCAGAGUUACUUGUUCUUAUAUAUCCAGAAGAGUCAUAUGAAUGGCCUGUCUUUGUGUAUUGCGGUUGGAACAAUGUUGGAAGACGAUGCCUUAGUAUUUUCUGGGUGGCGGAUUACUGCUGGAUUUAAUUUGCUGUUGUAUGGUGUGAUGUCUGUUGAUGGUCUCUGCAUGCUGAUGCACUUUUUUUUAUUGAUUUUGGAUUGGCUUGAGCUGGUAUCACGGAUUAGACUUGUAUUAUGUAGCUCAUGUGGUUUGACAUUUAUUUCUGUAGUAACUGCAGUUUAAUUCAGAAUGAAGGAGUACUGAUAGUUUUGAGAUCAUUGGGUUUUCAGAAUGCAGUUCAAUUCAGAAUGAAGGAAUAUAUUUUUUAAAAUAAAUGGAUUAAUUAAUUAGUUUUUUUUAUAAUAUAAAAAUUAAAUAAUAAAUUUUAUUUAUAAUAAUAAAUUUUUCAUAAAUAAAAUAAUACAAACAGGUAAACAACAUAUGACUCAGCUUACUACUUUGUAAUAAAGCAAGUCUACUCUGAAUCAUAAAUUGACUAUAAGUUUACUGCAACUUUUUAAAACUUUAUAAAGAGAGCCCACCAGCAAACAAGAAUCACGUUGAUGCUAAAACUUGUUUUUAAAAUUAAAUUAAUAAAAAAUUAUUCAAACAAAUAGGAAAUUUCUGCUCAUAGCACUUUGUUUGGAAGGUUUUUUUAGAGCGUGAAGAAAAUAACAAAUGAUAAAUAAAAUUUUUUUUCUUUUGUUAUUUUUCUCUACUCACGUUUGAAUAUAAAUAAAUAAAUAAAAGCUAUUCUUUGCUAUUUAUGUGGAAAAAUGUGAUUUGCUGUUGAGAUUGACAAAAUAAGAUAUUAUGUUUAACCGAGUGAUUUUCUCGAGCACCUAAUCGUCGGAAUUAGAGAUUGACAAGUCUGUGAGUGCGUGAUUUCGGUAAUUCUGUUCCGCCGGGAUUUGUAUUAAGUUUAGACAAUUUCAAUUGAUUUUGUCAAGUCAAUGGAGUUUUGUUUCAAGUUUAAAAUUUUAUUGGCUACGGUUUUAUUAUAGAAAACUUUAAUAAUAUAUUUUAACGUAGUAUUUCUGGUUUUCGAAAGGUAGUAGUAAGCCGACAAUUGUUAAAAUUUUAGCUCUUCGUCACUGUUUGCUCUUUACGAUAGAAUUUUUAUCUUUUAAUGACUUUAUUUUUAUAAAUUGUUUACAUGUGAUUCAAACUCUUUAAUCUCCACAUUUAAAUAUUUUUAAAUUGUGUUUAAUUUUAAAUGAUUGUAAAUCUUUAUUAGACCCUAGAAUUAAUAUUUCUAUUAGAUGGAUUUGUCGUUGUGUCACUCUAACUACUCAUAUUUUGGCUAAAAAAUCUAUUAAGCAUAUUUAUCUCUGUGUGGGGAUAACAUCUCUAUUUAUUUAAUGAAAUUUUAUUAAUAUAAUCAGUAGUUUUAUUUUAAAAAAAUAUUUUUCUUAUUUAGAAUAAAAAGAAACAAACAUUGUUUUUUCUUAUUUAACAAAAAUUUAAGAGAUAUAACAGAAAGUUUUAGCAAGUUUACCUUUCAAGGAAAAAAAAAAGUUAUUUUCCUUUUUUUUAAACUUUUUUUAUUCAAACAAGAAAAUUUCAUUUUCCAUUCACAUGUUCUCUAAACAUAUUACUGUGGGAGAUUUUAGUCUAUUAUUUAAGAAUUUGUUUUACAUUACUGUUAAAAUGGUUGUUAAGAAAAAUAAUUUAAAAGUAUCAUUUAGAAAAUAUUUUUAUUAAAAUAAUUUAAAAUUAUUUUGAUAUAAUUUAAUUAUAAAAAAAACUAAAAUAAUAAAGUUAUUUUUCCAAAUAAUUUUUUUCAAUGACAUCUAAAAUGAAGGUUUUAAAAGAAAAAUUUUAAACUCCAAACUCAAUGCCAAACUCUCUUAGGUGACUUAUUAUAAAAACAAUUUACCCAAAAAAACUCCAGGAUUAUUAAUUUAAAUAUUUAAAUUUUAAAUAAAUACACACAAUAUUUAUAUUUAAAUAUGAUUUUAGCUAAUUUUUAAAAAUUUUAAAUGUGAUCAUUUAUAUAUAAUAUUUUAUUAUUAUUUUAAAAUAAACUAAUUUUAUAUGUUAAAAUAACAUUAACUCACAUUUAAUCAUAGUUCACUGAUAUAUUUAAUUUUAAAUUAUUAAAUAAUUUUAAAUUAUUAAAUAUAUAGUUCACAUUUUUAACAGUAAAUAAAUUUUAUUUUAUAAUAAUAAUUAUAAAAAUUUUAUAAUAAAUAUAUAGCGUGCUGCUUCUUUAAAUUAAAUAACAUGUUUAGUAUAAAAUUAUUUUACUCAUUAUUAUAAAAUAAAAUUAAUGAAUGUUAGAAGAUUUAAAUCACAUGUUUAACGAUAUAAAUUAUUUAUUUUUAAUUAAAAUAUAUUAAUUAAAUAAAAUUAAAUGAGAGUAUUAUUUUUCAUAUAUAAAAUUAAAUUAUAUUUAAAAGUAAUAAAAUAUUGUAGAUAGCAUGUUAUUUAUAUUCUCAUAUUUUGAGUUUUAAAAUUAGUUAAUUAAUUUAUUUAAAAUUUAAAUAUUUUUAUUAAAAUGUAAAUAGAAAUAAACAAACAGUUGGUCUAAUAUAUAUAUCAUAGCCGUCUACCAAGAGGAAUUUGGUGGUCAACUGGCACUGUCGUGCAGCGUGCUCAACAAUUCAAGUUGACAAUCCGAAGGGUAAUUUGGUCAUUGAAGUUUCACAAUGACCAUUUGGCUUCGGAAUGAAAGUGGAUACAAAAAGAAAGGAAAAAUUCUAAUUGAUUUUAUUGUUUGGAUUUAAGAAGCACGGUAUAGACCAGAGACCAGUCAACCAUUGUUGGUCUCUUACCACAUCCUCACUUGAAGAAACCACGAAAUUGCAUAAUGGGGUUGGUGAUGGCGAGCUCUCUAUUUUUAUAUUUAUAAUUUAUUUUAAAACAUUUAAAAAACAUAGACAUCUUCACAUGUUUUUUAAUGAUUCUGUGUCUAUAAAUAGCUCCCACAGCACAGCCUCUCUCUUCAAAUCACAAUCUCCCCAGCUUCAGUUUGAUAAUCUUGAUAUACAUAGUUGAAUUGCAAUGGCUCCAGCAAUGGCAUUAUCAUCCACCGAUUCCUUUGAUCUCACUGAUUUUGUCAUUAACAAAGGCAAUGGAGUAAAGGGUCUUUCUGAUUUGGGCAUCAAAAGCCUUCCCUCUCAGUAUAUUCAACCUCAAGAGGCAUUGAUCAAUAUCAUCCCACAAAAAUCUAUUCCUGUUAUUGAUAUGUCCAACUGGGAAAAUGACCCCAGAGUUGCUGAAUCAGUCUGUGAAGCUGCAGAGAAAUUUGGCUUCUUCCAGCUGGUUAACCAUGGCGUGCCACUUGAGGUACUCGAUGGCGUUAAGGAUGCAACCCAUCGGUUCUUUGGGUUGCCAGCAGAGGAGAAGAGGAAGUUCUCCAAAGAGCUUUCUUCCACCAACAAUAUCAGAUUUGGAACCAGCUUUAGUCCUGAUGCAGAGAAAGCUCUUGAAUGGAAAGAUUACCUUAGCCUCUUCUAUGUCUCUGAGGAGGAGGCUUCUGUAUUGUGGCCUUCUGCUUGCAGAGAUGAAGUCCUUGAAUACAUGAAGAAAUCUCAAGUCCUCUGCACGAAGCUAAUGACUGCACUCAUGGAGAAACUGAACGUAAAAGAAAU